rnacentral:rRNA from 1 species
UACGGAGGGGGCAAGCGUUGUUCGGAAUCAUUGGGCGUAAAGGGCGCGUAGGCGGCCGUCCAAGUCGGGUGUGAAAUCCCUCGGCUCAACCGAGGAACUGCACUCGAUACUGGUCGGCUAGAGUCCGGGAGGGGAUGGUGGAAUUCCCAGUGUAGCGGUGAAAUGCGUAGAUAUUGGGAAGAACACCGGUGGCGAAGGCGGCCAUCUGGACCGGAACUGACGCUGAGGCGCGAAAGCCAGGGGAGCGAAUGGG